GACGAACGCUGGCGGCGUGCUUAACACAUGCAAGUCGAACGGAAGGGCCCUGCUUUUGUGGGGUGCUCGAGUGGCGAACGGGUGAGUAACACGUGAGUAACCUGCCCUUGACUUUGGGAUAACUUCAGGAAACUGGGGCUAAUACCGGAUAGGAGCUCCUGCUGCAUGGUGGGGGUUGGAAAGUUUCGGCGGUUGGGGAUGGACUCGCGGCUUAUCAGCUUGUUGGUGGGGUAGUGGCUUACCAAGGCUUUGACGGGUAGCCGGCCUGAGAGGGUGACCGGCCACAUUGGGACUGAGAUACGGCCCAGACUCCUACGGGAGGCAGCAGUGGGGAAUAUUGCACAAUGGGCGGAAGCCUGAUGCAGCAACGCCGCGUGUGGGAUGACGGCCUUCGGGUUGUAAACCGCUUUCGCCUGUGACGAAGCGUGAGUGACGGUAAUGGGUAAAGAAGCACCGGCUAACUACGUG
rnacentral:rRNA from 1 species